rnacentral:rRNA from 1 species
GACGAACGCUGGCGGCGUGCUUAACACAUGCAAGUCGAACGGAAAGGCCCUGCUUUUGUGGGGUGCUCGAGUGGCGAACGGGUGAGUAACACGUGAGUAACCUGCCCUUGACUUUGGGAUAACUUCAGGAAACUGGGGCUAAUACCGGAUAGGAGCUCCUGCUGCAUGGUGGGGGUUGGAAAGUUUCGGCGGUUGGGGAUGGACUCGCGGCUUAUCAGCUUGUUGGUGGGGUAGUGGCUUACCAAGGCUUUGACGGGUAGCCGGCCUGAGAGGGUGACCGGCCACAUUGGGACUGGGAUACGGCCCAGACUCCUACGGGAGGCAGCAGUGGGGAAUAUUGCACAAUGGGCGGAAGCCUGAUGCAGCAACGCCGCGUGCGGGAUGACGGUCUUCGGGUUGUAAACCGCUGUCGCCUGUGACGAAGCGUGAGUGACGGUAAUGGGUAAAGAAGCACCGGCUAACUACGUG